rnacentral:rRNA from 1 species
UACGUAGGGGCCUAGCGUUGUCCGGAAUUAUUGGGCGUAAAGAGCUCGUAGGCGGUUCGGCAAGUCGGAUGUGAAAUCUCCACGCUCAACGUGGAGGGGCCAUUCGAAACUGCCGUGACUCGAGUCCGGUAGGGGAGUGUGGAAUUCCCGGUGUAGCGGUGAAAUGCGCAGAUAUCGGGAGGAACACCAGUGGCGAAGGCGAGUCCCUGGACAACACCUGACACUGAGGCACGAAAGCUAGGGGAGCAAACAGG